rnacentral:rRNA from 1 species
SAGAGUUUGAUCAUGGCUCAGAUUGAACGCUGGCGGCAUGCUUUACGCAUGCAAGUCGAACGGUAACAGGAAGAAAGCUUGCUUUCUUUGCUGACGAGUGGCGAACGGGUGAGUAACACAUCGGAACGUACCGUUAGGUGGGGGAUAACUGCUCGAAAGAGCAGCUAAUACCGCAUAUAACUAAGGUUGAAAGCAGGGGAUCUUCGGACCUUGCGCCAAACGAGCGGCCGAUGGAAGAUUAGCUAGUUGGUGAGGUAAAGGCUCACCAAGGCGACGAUCUUUAGCGGGUCUGAGAGGACGAUCCGCCACACUGGAACUGAGACACGGUCCAGACUCCUACGGGAGGCAGCAGUGGGGAAUUUUGGACAAUGGGGGCAACCCUGAUCCAGCAAUGCCGCGUGAGUGAAGAAGGCCUUCGGGUUGUAAAGCUCUUUUGUUAGGGAAGAAAUCCUUAAGGCUAAUACCCUUGGGGGAUGACGGUACCUAAAGAAUAAGCACCGGCUAACUACGUGCCAGCAGCCGCGGUAAUACGUAGGGUGCAAGCGUUAAUCGGAAUUACUGGGCGUAAAGCGUGCGCAGGCGGUCUGAUAAGACAGUCGUGAAAUCCCCGAGCUUAACUUGGGAACUGCGAUUGUAACUGUCAGACUAGAGUGUGUCAGAGGGAGGUAGAAUUCCACGUGUAGCAGUGAAAUGCGUAGAGAUGUGGAGGAAUACCGGUGGCGAAGGCGGCCUCCUGGGAUAACACUGACGCUCAUGUACGAAAGCGUGGGGAGCAAACAGGAUUAGAUACCCUGGUAGUCCACGCCCUAAACGAUGUCUACUGGUUGUUGGGGAUUCAUUUCCUUAGUAACGAAGCUAACGCGUGAA